rnacentral:rRNA from 1 species
GAUGAACGCUAGCUACAGGCUUAACACAUGCAAGUCGAGGGGAAACGACAUCGAAAGCUUGCUUUUGAUGGGCGUCGACCGGCGCACGGGUGAGUAACGCGUAUCCAACCUGCCCACCACUUGGGGAUAACCUUGCGAAAGUAAGACUAAUACCCGAUGAUAUCCCUAGAAGACAUCUGAAAGGGAUUAAAGAUUUAUCGGUGAUGGAUGGGGAUGCGUCUGAUUAGCUUGUUGGCGGGGUAACGGCCCACCAAGGCGACGAUCAGUAGGGGUUCUGAGAGGAAGGUCCCCCACAUUGGAACUGAGACACGGUCCAAACUCCUACGGGAGGCAGCAGUGAGGAAUAUUGGUCAAUGGGCGAGAGCCUGAACCAGCCAAGUAGCGUGCAGGACGACGGCCCUAUGGGUUGUAAACUGCUUUUAUAAGGGAAUAAAGUGAGUCUCGUGAGACUUUUUGCAUGUACCUUAUGAAUAAGGACCGGCUAAUUCCGUG